rnacentral:piRNA from 1 species
UGCAUAGAGCUAGCCAGGUGGGGU